rnacentral:lncRNA from 1 species
UGGAUUGACUAAUGGUACACACGAUUCACGAUUCUUCCGUCAUUCAUUCACUCGUGCACCUCAUGCUUAAUUACAUUGCGCGGGGUUCACUCCACCAUGGUACAAAUCAACACAUAACUAGACAAAGGUACAAGUUGAUCUACGGCGUACAAGUACACAUGCAUGCAUAUAUCGAUCGUCCGAUGGAUGGACCGAUAUAUACUACAGCUAGCUGCUAAUUCUCAUUUAGCUCCCGGGGGCGAAGUUGGUAGCAAAGGCCCAUGCAUUGUUGUUGACUGGGUCGGCGACGUGGUCGAAGAGGUUCUCGACGGGUCCCUUGCCCGUGACGAUGGCCUGCACGAAGAAUCCAAACAUGGAGAACAUGGCGAGGCGGCCGUUCUUGAGCUCCUUGACCUUGAGCUCAGCGGCGGUGUCUGGGUCGUCGGCGAGACCGAGGGGGUCAAAGGCGCCACCGGGGUAGAUCUUGUCGAGCCCCUCACCGAGAGGGCCUCCACCAACACGGUAACCCUCGAUGAAGCCCAUGAGCACAACUUGGCAUGCCCAAAUGGCGAGGAUGCUCUGCGCGUGCACGAGGUUAGGGUUGCCCAGGUAGUCCAGGCCGCCCUCGGAGAAGAUCUGCGAGCCGGCCUUGAACCACACCGCCUCGCCGAACUUGACACCAUUCUUGGAGAGGAUCUCCGGGAACACGCACCCGAGCGCGCCAAGCAUCGCCCAACGAGAGUGGAUCACCUCGAGCUCCCUGUUCUUGGCGAACGUCUCUGGGUCAGCUGACAACCCCGCGGUGUCCCAGCCGUAGUCACCGGGGAACUCGCCGGUCAGGUACGACGGCGUCUGCUCGGAGAACGGGCCCAGGUACUUGGGACGGUCAGGGCCGUACCUAUAUAUACACGCACGGUCAUUUCAUCACCAUUAAUUUCAUUCAGGCGAAGCCAAUUGCGCGGUACUUGAUGCAUGUAGUACAUAGAAAUGUAGCUUUGGACGAAGAAAAAGAUAUACUUACCAGAUGCUCUGGGGUGCGCUCUUGACAGUCCGGCGCAUGGUGAUGCGGCCGCCGAAGUCGCCGACGCUGCGGACGAGGUCAUCGCGGCGUGGGGCGGUGCCGAGGAAGCUGGUGGUCUGGUGCAGCGCCGACGCGGCCAUUUCGAUCCCAAUUCAAGUGGUAAGGUCAGUGAGAGAUGAGCUGGUGGCUG